UAGGAUGAAUGAGAUGAUGUAUGAAAAGAGCUUAACACAUCAGACACAAGGUAGAGGUUCUCUAAGCAUUACCUGUUCUAAUAAAAUUAUUAGACAAUGUGACUUUUGAAUCAUAACAAGGGUAGUAAAUAGCAUUUAACAGCAGUAUUUCCCAAACUGUACUCUAUGGAACAUUAUUCUGCCAAAUAGUAACAUUUGUUAUUUUUUUAAAAAUGUUCUUGAAUAGGUCUGAAAACUACUAAUGAACAUACUGUUGGAACUCUCAGCACUGUUUUUAUUU
rnacentral:lncRNA from 1 species